ACGAGGCCGGAGCAGCACAGUCGUUUCCCAGAAGCCUCACCUGCGACGCCAGCAAACCCUCCCGCACGCCGACGAGAAACCUCUUCUUUACCCUGAAGUUCCCUGCGACGUUGUAGAUGACCCGAGGCCGCCAAGAAGGUCCCUCACACCAUCUGAGAUUGGACGAAAACCUGACCACUUCGCGAGGCAGUCGAUUGGCCAAUUGCGGUAACAAACUCGAGCUCCGGGUCCUUUCGCAGAGAUAUAACGUCCCUUGAGAGCGUGAAAGGCAGUUGCCAGCGGAACUCUACGGAUACUCAACGCCCUCAGUCGUCUGUUCAGAUCGAGAGAAUCAACGGGAGUGAAAUCCUGUAAAGAGAAGACAAAGCGUUGCGGAAAAAAAACUCCAUAUUUUCUCAUUUGACGAUCGUAAAAACCGUUUGAAAACAGAUAAACAGAGUGACGUUAUUUGUUUGGAGUGAUUUCUAUAAAGUCUGUUUGCGUCUCAGUAAAAAACAUCUUGUGAUUUCUGUUGCACACGCAAGUUAUACUUGAAUUUACAUAUCGUUUACCUGAGUGAGCCAGAAGAAGAAGCAAACAGUCAAGAUGGUCCAGGAACACACCUACUCCGCCAACACCUACGUUGAUGACGCCCAGGCCAGACGCUCGACGUACAAGGCCAUGCAGAUGGGCACUUACAACAACAACCCCCAGGGGAACGCGGCCUCCACAAGGACCAAAGCUAAGAAGGCCAAUCCCCAGGUCGAUGUGUGGGGCCCUGUGUUCAAGAAUAAGGAGCAUUUCGUGAACAUGCAUCUGUGCUAAAGGAUGUUCAAAGAGGAGAAGGAGGAGGAGGAAGGAGUUGGAAGGAUAGGAGGAUGGAGACGAGGAGGAGAAGGAGGAGGAGGAAGUUGGAAGAGGAGGAGAAGGGGAUGUAGUAUGUUUAAAUAAAUUGUUCGCCAUGUUUGCAUUGGCUAAUUUAUUCUAAUUGUUCACAAAUACUAGCAAUUCAUUCAUGUUCAUUGUUCCUUCGUGAUGAACAUUCACGGGGAAUUCAUUAUGUGGGUAUAGAUGUUCAAUUAACAAUAUUUUAUGAACAGAGAGAGAGAGAGAGAGAGAGAGAGAGAGAGAGAGAGAGAGAGAGAGAGAGAGAGAGA